UGGCUCAGUGGUAAAGAACCUGCCUGCAAUGCAGGAGACCUAGGUUCGAUUCCUGG
rnacentral:tRNA from 1 species